rnacentral:misc_RNA from 1 species
UGAAAAGGAUAAGGAUGAUGAGAGUUUGAGAAGGUGGAAGGAGCAGCUCCUUGGAAGUGUGGAUAUCAAUGCUGUUGGAGAAUCCCUGGAUCCAGAAGUGAAGAUCUUGAGCCUUGCAAUUAAGUCGCCCGGUAGAUCUGAUAUUGUUCUCCCUAUCCCCGAGGACGGAAAUCCCAAGAGUCCAUGGUUUGUCCUGAAAGAAGGGAGCAAAUACAGCCUAAAAUUUACGUUCCAGGUCAACAAUAAUAUAGUAACAGGUCUUAAAUACACGAAUGCAGUUUGGAAAACCGCUAUCAAAGUUGACAGCACAAAAGAGAUGAUUGGGGCGUUCAGUCCUCAACUGGAGCCGUAUACUCACGAAAUGCCAGAAGAAACCACCCCUUCUGGCAUUUUCGCA